CUUUCUUUAGCCUGCUCAUGUCCUUUCUUUAGCUAGCUCACAGCACCACACCAGUGUCCCACGCUGAAACUCCAUACUCUAAUCAAAAUGACAAUGGCAAUGUCAAUCUCCUCGCUCACCUCAUCCGUGUCUUCGCUUUCUUUCUCUUCUCAGAUUUCGGAAAAACCAAACACCCUCUCACUUUCCCGUUCAAAUUCCCUUUCGCUCUCGCUUUCCUCCAAACCUGCUCGUCUUCUUGUCUCCGCCACGGUUGCGUCGCCAGUCGAAUCCGAGGCCACCGAUAUCAAGAAAUUAGUUAAGUCGAGGCUACCCGGUGGAUUCGCUGCUCAACCAAUCUUCGGCACCGGUCGCCGUAAAUGCGCCAUUGCUCGAGUCGU
rnacentral:misc_RNA from 1 species